rnacentral:rRNA from 1 species
GGAUAUUGCGCAAUGGGCGAAAGCCUGACGCAGCGACGCCGCGUGGGUGAUGAAGGCCUUCGGGUCGUAAAGCCCUGUCGAGGGGCACGAAACGGUCUCGACCUAACACGUCGAGGCCCUGACGGUACCCCUACAGGAAGCACCGGCUAACUCCGUACCAGCAGCCGCGGUAAUCCGGAGGGUGCGAGCGUUGUUCGGAAUCACUGGGCGUAAAGGGCGUGUAGGCGGUCCGCUAAGUCUGAUGUGAAAGCCCGGGGCUUACCCCCGGAAGGGCAUUGGAAACUGGCGGACUCGAGUCCCGGAGAGGAAGGUGGAAUUCCUGGUGUAGCGGUGAAAUGCGUAGAUAUCAGGAGGAAUACCGGUGGCGAAGGCGGCCUUCUGGACGGUGACUGACGCUGAGACGCGAAAGCGUGGGGAGCAAACAGG